rnacentral:lncRNA from 1 species
AGCAAUAAGACUUGCGUUUCAGUUCCAAAGUUCAUGUAAUGUAAAGUUACUUCCUUUCAGACAGAGCUCCUACAGAUGAAUAAAGGGAAUUUGCGGGAUGGUUGAGAAAUCUAACCUUUGUAGCUUCCAACUUGGGUUGUUUAGUAUUAAUUGCUUCCCAGAGUGAACGGCUAAUCAUGUCUUCAGUACAAAAAAUAACCUGCAAUGUAAUUUUUUAAGUCAUAACUGUCUUUCUUGAAGCAGAAAGUCAUGGUUACUAAAACUGUGCAAAUCCUGGAAAAACAUAGUGAUGACAGAAAUUAGAUCAUCUAGUAAACAAGAUAAAAGAUGGGGAAAUAGAUGCAACACAAUUUGAAAACUAUCUGAUAGAUGAAACAUGAUCUGCAGUUCCAAAUAUCAGCAUUAGUUUUAUAUGGUCAUUCACCCUUUAUAAAUCAUAAACUUCUACUGAUUGUUCCAAACAAAAUAUAUGGAACUAAAAUUGCAAAAUGGGUAAUUUAGAUAGAGUGAAUAAGAGUUUGUGUUUUUAGAACUGAGUUGAAAAAUUUUCGGUCUAUUUUUAUCAGCUAGAUUAUUUUUAUUUUACAAAAUACACCAUUGGUUGAAGAGGAGAAAGCUACAAUAGAAUUUACCUCAAGAAAUUCACCAUCCAUUUCCUUCAGAAGCUGUUGUAUCUGACAGAAAGAUAAAACAGGAGGAUCAGAUACAGUAAUUCUGGAAUCAUCUGUUCAAGCGAUGUCAAAUGGUCUCUAAAAAAACUACAGCAAUGAUUUGCAUUCAAGAAGUUGGAAAUGAGACAGCGUUUCGCAGUAAUGAAGAAUAUGAAAAGAAUUUUCCACUACCAAAUCUUGACUUUCGAGCAAAUUAUACAUUUACUUGUAGAACAGAUAGCCUCUGGAAUGACUUGAACAGAGUGAAAUGACGGCAUGUGUGUGCGUAUAUGCGUGUGAACAAUGAAUUACAUACAGAUAAAAUCACUCACUACAGGAGUUUUAGAGAACAUAAUGCCACUUAAAGAAUAUCUAGCAGAACCGGACCGCUAUUCCUUCUUAAGGAAUAGACUAAGGGACAUACUUACGGGGAAACAAAAUGAUAAUGCACUCUAGUGAGCACAGCCGCGGCGUUCAGAUGCAUCAGUGGUUUGAUGCUUCCUUAUAGAAAAAGUACGAAUAGAAUUUUCAGCCACCAUCCCUUGGCUGCAUCUAGAUAAUUUUACAUUUUGUAUCAAAAUUAGGUGCUCAAUGCCUAGGUUACUUGUUCAUUUUAUCGGACAGAGUUGUUUUGUUUUACAUUUUCUCACCAAAAUAAGCAGCAUGACAAGUCAUUUAACUCUCAUGGAAAGACUACAAAGCUAAUAUUAUCAAAUGAAUAUACCCU